GACGAACGCUGGCGGCGUGCCUAAUACAUGCAAGUCGAGCGGAUUGAUGGGGGCUUGCUCCCUGAUAUCAGCGGCGGACGGGUGAGUAACACGUGGGCAACCUGCCUAUAAGACUGGGAUAACUUCGGGAAACCGGAGCUAAUACCGGAUAAUCCCUUUCCUCUCAUGAGGAAAGGCUGAAAGAUGGUUUACGCUAUCACUUAUAGAUGGGCCCGCGGCGCAUUAGCUAGUUGGGGAGGUAACGGCUCACCAAGGCAACGAUGCGUAGCCGACCUGAGAGGGUGAUCGGCCACACUGGGACUGAGACACGGCCCAGACUCCUACGGGAGGCAGCAGUAGGGAAUCUUCCGCAAUGGACGAAAGUCUGACGGAGCAACGCCGCGUGAGUGAUGAAGGUUUUCGGAUCGUAAAACUCUGUUGUUAGGGAAGAACAAGUACGAGAGUAACUGCUCGUACCUUGACGGUACCUAACCAGAAAGCCACGGCUAACUACGUGCCAGCAGCCGCCGUAA
rnacentral:rRNA from 1 species